rnacentral:miRNA from 4 species
UGUUAUAGUAUCCCACCUACCC